AAAUGAAUAGACGGGGACCCGCACAAGCAGCGGAGCAUGUGGUUUAAUUCGAAGCAACGCGAAGAACCUUACCAGGUCUUGACAUGGUAUUGACCGGUCUAGAGAUAGAUUUUUCCCUUCGGGGACAAUACACACAGGUGGUGCAUGGUUGUCGUCAGCUCGUGUCGUGAGAUGUUGGGUUAAGUCCCGCAACGAGCGCAACCCCUAUUUUUAGUUGCUAACAGUUCGGCUGAGCACUCUAGAGAGACUGCCGAUGAUAAAUCGGAGGAAGGUGGGGAUGACGUCAAAUCAUCAUGCCCUUUAUGACCUGGGCUACACACGUGCUACAAUGGUCGGUACAACGAGGAGCUACACAGCGAUGUGAUGCAAAUCUCUUAAAGCCGAUCCCAGUUCGGAUUGCAGGCUGCAAUUCGCCUGCAUGAAGUCGGAGUUGCUAGUAAUCGUGGAUCAGAAUGCCGCGGUGAAUGCGUUCCCGGGUCUUGUACACACCGCCCGU
rnacentral:rRNA from 1 species